UACGUAGGGGGCAAGCGUUGUCCGGAAUCAUUGGGCGUAAAGAGCGUGUAGGCGGCCCGAUAAGUCCGCCGUGAAAGUCCAGGGCUCAACCCUGGAAUGCCGGUGGAAACUGUCGGGCUGGAGUCCGGAAGAGGCGAGUGGAAUUCCUGGUGUAGCGGUGAAAUGCGUAGAUAUCUGGAGGAACACCGGUGGCGAAGGCGGCAUCCUGGACCGACACUGACGCUGAGGAGCGAAAGCCAGGGGAGCAAACGGG
rnacentral:rRNA from 1 species